AUCCAGCUGAAGAGUCCCAAGCAGGAUGAAAUAUGUGUUUUGGAU
rfam:Schistosoma margrebowiei strain Zambia genome assembly, scaffold: SMRZ_scaffold0004598